GCGUAAAGAGCUCGUAGGCGGUUUGUCGCGUCUGCCGUGAAAGUCCGGGGCUUAACUCCGGAUCUGCGGUGGGUACGGGCAGACUUGAGUGAUGUAGGGGAGACUGGAAUUCCUGGUGUAGCGGUGAAAUGCGCAGAUAUCAGGAGGAACACCGAUGGCGAAGGCAGGUCUCUGGGCAUUAACUGACGCUGAGGAGCGAAAGCAUGGGGAGCGAACAGGAUUAGAUACCCUGGUAGUCCAUGCCGUAAACGUUGGGCACUAGGUGUGGGGGACAUUCCACGUUUUCCGCGCCGUAGCUAACGCAUUAAGUGCCCCGCCUGGGGAGUACGGCCGCAAGGCUAAAACUCAAAGGAAUUGACGGGGGCCCGCACAAGCGGCGGAGCAUGCGGAUUAAUUCGAUGCAACGCGAAGAACCUUACCAAGGCUUGACAUGAACCGGAACGGCGCAGAGAUGUGUCGGCCACUUGUGGCCGGUUUACAGGUGGUGCAUGGUUGUCGUCAGCUCGUGUCGUGAGAUGUUGGGUUAAGUCCCGCAACGAGCGCAACCCUCGUUCCAUGUUGCCAGCGGGUUAUGCCGGGGACUCAUGGGAGACUGCCGGGGUCAACUCGGAGGAAGGU
rnacentral:rRNA from 1 species